UACAGAGGGUGCGAGCGUUACUCGGAAUUACUGGGCGUAAAGCGUGCGUAGACGGUAAUGUAAGUCAGAUGUGAAAGCCCCGGGCUCAACCUGGGAAUUGCAUUUGAGACUGCAUCGCUAGAAUCGUGGAGAGGUGAGUGGAAUUCCGAGUGUAGAGGUGAAAUUCGUAGAUAUUCGGAAGAACACCAGUGGCGAAGGCGACUCACUGGACAGGUAUUGACGCUGAGGUGCGAAAGCGUGGGGAGCAAACAGG
rnacentral:rRNA from 1 species